rnacentral:rRNA from 1 species
AUUGAACGCUGGCGGCAGGCCUAACACAUGCAAGUCGAACGGUAACAGGAAGAAGCUUGCUUCUUUGCUGACGAGUGGCGGACGGGUGAGUAAUGUCUGGGAAACUGCCUGAUGGAGGGGGAUAACUACUGGAAACGGUAGCUAAUACCGCAUAAUGUCGCAAGACCAAGAGGGGGACCUUCGGGCCUCUUGCCAUCGGAUGUGCCCAGAUGGGAUUAGCUAGUAGGUGGGGUAACGGCUCACCUAGGCGACGAUCCCUAGCUGGUCUGAGAGGAUGACCAGCCACACUGGAACUGAGACACGGUCCAGACUCCUACGGGAGGCAGCAGUGGGGAAUAUUGCACAAUGGGCGCAAGCCUGAUGCAGCUAUGCCGCGUGUAUGAAGAAGGCCUUCGGGUUGUAAAGUACUUUCAGCGGGGAGGAAGGGAGUAAAGUUAAUACCUUUGCUCAUUGACGUUACCCGCAGAAGAAGCACCGGCUAACUCCGUG